rnacentral:rRNA from 1 species
GAUGAACGCUGGCGGCGUGCUUAACACAUGCAAGUCGAACGAUGAAGCCCAGCUUGCUGGGUGGAUUCGUGGCGAACGGGUGAGUAACACGUGAGUAACCUGCCCUUAACUCUGUGAUAAGCCUUGGAAACUGGGUCUAAUAUCGGAUAGGAGCGUCCACCGUAUGGUGUGUGUUGGGAAGAUUUAUCGGUUUUGGAUGGACUCGCGGCCUAUCAGCUUGUUGGUGUGGUAAUGGCUCACCAAGGCGAUGACGGGUAGCCGGCCUGAGAGGGUGACCGGCCACAUUGGGACUGAGACACGGCCCAGACUCCUACGGGAGGCAGCAGUGGGGAAUAUUGCACAAUGGGCGGAAGCCUGAUGCAGCGACGCCGCGUGAGGGAUGACGGCCUUCGGGUUGUAAACCUCUUUCAGUAGUGAAGAAGCGAAAGUGACGGUACCUGCAGAAGAAGCACCGGCUAACUACGUG